AUGAUGUUGGGUGAACCCAUCGCGAGCCGUAAUCUGACAAUGAAUCGUGUAAAAUUGCUACCAUUAUUUAGGUACACACAAAGUUCAAUUUCGUCAUCUGUUAAGGCAUGCCCACCAGGUGUUUGUGUUUAUGUGUGAAAGAAAUGAGUCAAUGAAAUUUGUCUAAUUUAUCCGGUUGUUGAGAAGGGAUUCUCUCACCUAACUUUUCUUGAUUUGGGAUGUUGUUAGUUUGUUUUGAUUGUGUGAUCUAAUGUUUUGUUGAACAAGUGGACAGUGCUACUAAACAUGGUAUUCUUUUCGACGUUGUGCAACUACUCACUGACCUAAACUUCAUCGUUACAAAAGCAAACAUUAGUUCUGAUGGAGUUUUCAACACCAAUGAUCAAACAUGUAAUAGGCAGCUUGAAAGAGCCGGUUGAGGAUAAAAGUCAUUGAGUUCAUUCAAGUUGUUAAAAUCUCAAAAUAUGUUGUUUGGGGCGUGAUGGCCAGUCAUCGCAGGUCCACUUGAAUUCGUUGAUGCGAUGACUUUAGCAGAGGCGUGGACUGUAUCCAUUAUCUUCUUAUAAGGUCCACUUGAAUUUGCUGAUGCAAUGACUUUAGCACAGGUCCUCAACAUGCCAUUGCCACCAGAUUCAGUAUGGUUGUUUUUGUGAAUUAUAUAUGGGUAUUCAUUUUUCAAUCGGAAAGCUAUUGGGUCGGUUAAUCAGGAGUUUUGAUCUUCAUAACAAGUUUUCCUUCUCGGUGAGGUGGUAAAUUUUUUUUUUUUUGGAAAGACCGUUGGUGUCAUUCGGGUCUUAAUGACGUAGUGGAGAUUUGGAAGGCUCGGAAUGAUAAAAUCUUCAAAAGCGAAAACAGUUCGACCCCAAGGGUGUUGGAAUACAUUAAAGACACAACCUUUUGGUGGAUAUCUAGAAGAUUAAAGAUUACGGGAGUUAGCAGCUCGAAUUGGAGUUCCUUUGUGGGCAUUGACUUCGGUUAGGUGCUAGGUUUUUUUUUUCUUUGUGUGGUGUGAGGUACAGUGUAUUUUUUUUAGUCUGCGGAUGUUGCUAUGUUGUCUAUUCAUUUAUUUUUAUGUUGGGCGUUUGUAGGGUGUUAGGGGGAGUUGUCUUUUGGCUAAGCACUUUGUUUGAUUUUG
rnacentral:lncRNA from 1 species